rnacentral:lncRNA from 12 species
AUGUCUGCGGGGGACGCCCCUGGGAGAGAUGGAAGUGGGGACAAGGCCGGGGGUACCCGGUGGCAGGAGGCCGGGCGGGAGCCUGACCACCUCGUGCGAUUAGAAGGCCGAGGAGGAUGGAGCAGGAGACGCGGCGGGCGCGGGAGUCCGGGGGGGCACGCGGGGACCCGCACCCGCAGGCCACCUGCAGCCUCCUGGCGGCGGGGCCCCUGCACACCCCGCGCGGGCUGCCGUCCUGUCGGCCGAGGACGCCCCCGGCCCUGGGAGAGGGCGCUGCGCCGUCGGGGCGCCCGCUGGAAUCCCGGGGCCUUAAGGAGGGAGAGGGAGACGUGGGUGGGCCAGGGCGCGCGAUGCGAGGGGGUUGGCGGCUUUGACGCUGGAGGAGGUGGCCCCAGGCGGCCUCGGAAGCUGGCAAAGGGGCGGGAACGGCCUCCGCGAGCUGCAGCCGGCGCAACCGACACCCUGAGCUCAGCCCCGCGGGGCCCGCGUCAGACCUCGGCCUCCAGAACCCUCGGUUUCCGCUGCUCGAGGCCGGUGCGGCGCGCGGCCCCUCGUGGCGGCGGGGACAGGGCGCAGCGGCGACUAAGGCUGAGCCCGCGCCUCACCGCAGCCCCGCGUGUUGCGCUUGACUCCCCGGGUGUUGGCCGACGGCCCGCCUCCCCCAGCGGGUGGCUCCCGGGCCCCGCGUCCCCAGCACCCGGGCGGCCCACAGCGCCGGCAGCUCCGCUCAUGCUCGGAGCCGGGAUGCGCGGCCCACGAGCGACGGGAAGGCCCCGAGCCACGGCCCUUUGGCGCCUGGCAGCCCCUGGAGCCUCAGCGCAGACGUCGGGGCCGCUCUGCGUCCCCCGGUGGCCAGUCAGCUGGGGUCACGGCUCCCCGUGGCGCCCCGGAGCUUCCAGCUCGGGCCAGCCCUGCUGCGGCCUCCUCGGAAGACACAGCACGAGGCUACGGGCUCCCCUCUGCCAGACGCAGUCGGAGGCGUGUGUAUGCAGAGAGCCCGGGAUGCCCGGGGGGGGGGGGGGGGCAGCGGUUUAG